rnacentral:rRNA from 1 species
AUUGAACGCUGGCGGCAUGCUUUACACAUGCAAGUCGAACGGUAACAGCACUUCGGUGGCUGACGAGUGGCGAACGGGUGAGUAAUACAUCGGAACGUGCCUAGUAGUGGGGGAUAACUACUCGAAAGAGUAGCUAAUACCGCAUGAGAUCUAAGGAUGAAAGCGGGGGACCUUCGGGCCUUGCGCUACUAGAGCGGCUGAUGGCAGAUUAGGUAGUUGGUGGGAUAAAAGCUUACCAAGCCGACGAUCUGUAGCUGGUCUGAGAGGACGACCAGCCACACUGGGACUGAGACACGGCCCAGACUCCUACGGGAGGCAGCAGUGGGGAAUUUUGGACAAUGGGCGCAAGCCUGAUCCAGCAAUGCCGCGUGCAGGAUGAAGGCCUUCGGGUUGUAAACUGCUUUUGUACGGAACGAAAAGCCCUCUUCUAAUACAGGAGGGUCAUGACGGUACCGUAAGAAUAAGCACCGGCUAACUACGUG